GUAACUACAAAGCAUUACAUGUCUCAUAUUCUGUUUAAUAAUCUUACUUUGACCUCUCAUUUAUUCUAAGUUUUUAGCUCCUUGGAUAUCUUUUCCUCCCAGUGUUAAUGGAAUUUCAGCACUUCGUCUUAAAAUCCAUGGGUUCAACUAACUAUGCUGAACAAGAUAUCUGCAUAAGUAGAAAAUUUAUCCCUCUCUUUUGCAGCUGCAGGAAAAAUGUUAUUCCAGAUCAUAAACCCUCCUUGCAAGAAAAAAGUAUUUUGCAACAUCUAGAAUUUAGAUAUAAUUGCCAUCUAGAGUGAGCAAAUCUCAAACUCUGAAAUAUCUAUCAUUUUGAUUGAUUGUAUUAUUUACCAAUGUGUUAUGCCCAGGUAAUAACAUCUCUGUUGUCAAACGAAAGCUAGAAAGAUAUUACACAAAGGUAAAAUAUAAUAAAUCAACUCUGGUAGAUGUCUUAAAGUGUUUUGUUUUUUGCAUUUCCAAUGGCAGAUGAAAUCAGGGCAAGAAACCGAAGUAAUGAUUACUCACAAGUAAGAAUACUUGCUUGCUGAACACUUGCUGAAGACACACUUAAUAAUUUGAAAUUGUUCAAUCAGCAUCAUACAAUAUUAUUAAAAUUAACUAAUAUAUCCACAUGCACUAUCUAAAUGCCAAACACCAAGAAAAAAAUGCAGCAGAGCACGAAAAAUAAUUUUUCAUUGGAAACAAUUUCUCAGCAUUUUCUUACGUACAAUGAAAGACAGAAGACAACAAAGAGAAACCCCUUUAAAGAUUACAUCCCUGCUGAAGAACUCAUAAUGUCAAACACAUUCUACUUCAUCACAACAGACUGCCUUACUGGCCCUAAAUGUCACUUAAAGAAAAUGAUAUCCACCCAACAGGGGCUUGGUUUUGCUUAUUGAGCCAUUGGUGAUCAUGGCCAUUAACAUUACAUAUAUACUGGUAAGUACUAGCGAAGCCCCAUUGCCUCUUGGGAUUCAUCUCAUAGCAACAGGUCUUAAUUUUAUUUCCAAGCCAUAUCCUUAGAACACUCUCCAAAGAGUUUUCAACAGGACAAAUGGGUUGAUAUGGUUUGGGUAAUUACCAUUAUCUCAGAAACUUGUGGAACCACACCAGCUGAAAACGAUAUGUUAUCAUUUACCCUCUUGCAGAAAAAAAUAUAUUUUUGAGAUAUCCCAAACUGAUUCUCUCAAAGACACAAAAUCAUUAUCCCUAUUUUUGUGUUGUGUGUAUCCAUGACUAAUUAUGAUAGAAAAUGAGAGUUUGAGAAAAAAACACAACCAUUAAAAUUGCCUAUGUCAAUUUUCCCCUCACAGUAGGAUCAGACCAGCCUCCACGAGGAAUCUAGUUAUUUAUUUGGCAAUCUGGCUCUUCAGGUUUGGGAGGGGAAGAGUUUCCGCCUGAGACAAAGGAAGAGAACAAGUAGUGUGAGGUAUUGCAGAGCCAAUGAGAAAAUGAAAAGAUUCCAGCUGAGUGGGAUUAAGAGCAAAUUCUAAGUCACUUGGGCUAAGGUGGGACUGUGGUUGAGAUGUGAUACACCAUGUGAUAUGAAAUUUAGAGAAGAGAGAAUUGGAGCAAGAGUUCAGGGCCAAGUGAGUGAGUCAAUUCAGAGUGGCACUAGACUCUGGUGGUUAAAGCUCACCUUUGGCCCAGCAGAUGGGUGUAUCUGGGUGUUUUCUAUACCCCAGGGACAGGCAGACACACUGUGACCCAAAAUAUCUCAUCUGCUUGUGUCACCUUUCACUUCUACUGAUUAUCCAACCUGAAAUUCUCACCAAAUGCCAUUCUGAUUAGAGGGUCACCUAUUCAUUUAUCCAACAUUCCACCCAAUAUACGGCAGGACUGAUCCAAGAACCAGAGGCACAGAAGUGAAUUUCUACCUGCAGAGGCUGUUCUUUAAGUACAUUUGAUUAAUAAGAAAACAGAUUUUUGAUGAGUGAUCAGUGAACACACUAUGAGUCAACAAAGAAGAGCACUGUUAACCCUGCAUUGGAAGCUCUGGAGAAUUCCUCAGAGGAGGUAGCAUUUAGGCUGGUCUGGAAGGAAGAUGAGCCUGAUACUAAAAAUAUGGGGUGAGGAAGCUGGAUAAACAAAAGGACCAUUUAGCAAGACAGAAGAACAUGAGAAGAGAGAUUUUGUUGGAAAGCAAAGAAUUUGGCUGCAUUGUACCCCUGCCCAAGAGAUAUGUGAAACUUUGAACUUGAGAGUGAUGAUUUAGAGUAUCUGGCAGAAGAAAUUUCUAAGCAGCAAAGCUUUCAAGAUGUGGCCCUGGCAGCUUCUAACAGCCUAUGCUCAUAUGUGUGAGCAAAGACAUGACCUAAAAUUGCAACUUAUUUAAAGGGGAAGCAGAGUGUUUUAAAGUUUGAAAAAUUUGCAGCCUGGCAAUGUAGAAGAAAAGAAAACCCCAUUUGCAGGGGAAGAAUUCAAGCAAGCUUCAGAAAUUUGCAUAAUUAAAAAGAAGCCAAGUGCUGACAGCCAAGACAGUGGGAAAAAGGCCUUGAAGGCAUUUCAGAAACCUUUGCAGCAGCCCUACCCAUCACAGGGCCCAAGGCCUAGAAGGACUGAAUGGUUUCAUGGGCCAGGGCCAGGGCCAGGGUCCCUCUGCCCUGCACAGCGUCAAGACAGUUCUCCCUGCAUCCCAGUGACUCUAGCUCUACCCCUGACUCAAAUGGGCCUAGGUACAACUUCAGCUGCUGCUUCAGAAUGGACAAGCUGUAAGCCUUGGCAGCUUCCACACAGUUUUUUUUUUUUUUUUUUUUUUUUUUUGAGACAGAGUCUCACUCUGUCGCCCAGGCUGGAGUGCAGUGGUGCAAUCUCGGCUUACUGCAAGCUCCACCUCCUGGGUUCACGCCAUUCUCCUGCCUCAGUCUCCCGAGUAGCUGGGACUACAGGCGCCCACCGCCACGCCCAGCUAAUUUUUUGUAUUUUUAGUAGAGACAGGGUUUCACUGUGUUAGCCAGGAUGGUCUCGAUCUCCUGACCUUGUGAUCCACCCGCCUCAGCCUCCCAAAGUGCUGGGAUUACAGGCGUGAGCCACUGCGCCCGGCCAGCAGCUACCACAUGGUUUUAAGCCUGCAGGUGCACAGAGUGAAGAGUUGAAAUUCGGGAACCUCCACCUAGAUUUCAGAGGAUUAUGGAAAAGACUAGAGGUCCAGGAAGAAGCCUACUGCAGGGGCAGAGCCAUCAGCAGAACCUCUACUAGGGCAGUGUAAAGAGUAAAUGUGGAGUGGGACCCCUACACAGAAUCACCACUGGGGCACUGUUUAGUGGAGUUGUGAGAAAGGGGCCACCAUCCUCCAGACCCCAGAAUGGUAGAUCCACUGACAGCUUUUACUCUGCAUCUGAAAAAGCUGCAGGCACUUAAUACCAGCCUGUGAGAGCAGCUGCAGGGGCUGAACCCUGCAAAGCCACAAGGCUGAGCUGCCCAAGGCCUUGGAGCCCACGCCUUCCACCAGUGUGCCCUGGAUGUGGGACAUGGAGUCAAAGGAAAUUAUUUUGAAAAUUUAAGAUUUAAUGACUGCCCUGUUGAGUCUGACUUGCAUGGGGCCUGUAGCCCCUUUCUUUUGGCCAAUUUAUUCCUUUUGGAAAGAGAAUGUUUAGCCAAUGCCUGUACUCCCAUUGUAUCUUGGAUGUAACUAACUGGUUUUUUAUUUUACAGGCUCAUAGUGGGAAGGGACUAGCCUUGCCUCAGAUGAGACUUUGGACUUUGGACUUUUAAUUAUGCUGGAAUGAGUUAAGACUGGGGAUUCUUGGGAAGGCAUGAUUGUAUUUUGCAAUGUGAGGUGGACAUGAGAUUUGGGGGUGCCAGGGGUGACAUGAUAUGGUUUGGAUCUGUGUCCCCACAAAGUCACAUGUCGAAUUGUAAUCCCUAAUGUUGGAGAUGAGGACUACUGGGAGGUGAUUGGAUCAUGGGGGCAGAUUUCUUAUGAAUGGUUUAGCAUUAUCCCCUUGGUACUGCCCUCAUGAGUGAGCUCUCAUGAGAUCUGGUUGUUUAAAAGUGUGUGGUACCUCUCCUACUCUCUUGCUCCUGCUUUUAACGUGAACUUUCUGCUCUUGCUUUGCCUUCUUCCAUGAGUAUAAGCUCCCUAAGGCCUCCCAGAAGCAGAUGCCACUAUGCCUCCUGUACAGUCUGCAGAACUGUAAGCCAAUUAAA
rnacentral:lncRNA from 10 species